rnacentral:rRNA from 1 species
GUCUCUGGCCACGCCACCCUGAACGAGCCCGAUCCCGUCUGGUCUCGGAAGCUGAGCAGGGUCGGGCCUGGUUAGUCCUUGGAUGGGAGACCACCUAGCAAGACCAGACACUGUAGGUG